rnacentral:rRNA from 1 species
CAGUCGCCGCGGUAAUACGUAGGUGGUAAGCGUUGUCCGGAAUUAUUGGGCGUAAAGCGCGCGCAGGUGGUUUAAUAAGUCUGAUGUGAAAGCCCACGGCUCAACCGUGGAGGGUCAUUGGAAACUGUUAAACUUGAGUGCAGGAGAGAAAAGUGGAAUUCCUAGUGUAGCGGUGAAAUGCGUAGAGAUUAGGAGGAACACCAGUGGCGAAGGCGGCUUUUUGGCCUGUAACUGACACUGAGGCGCGAAAGCGUGGGGAGCAAACAGGAUUAGAUACCCCAGUAGUCCCUGUCUCUUAUAA